CAUUUUCCCUCCUCAGUUCCGGUAGCUCGAGGUUGAGGGCCAUAGAUUGAGGUCGUGAGACCGUCUAUGCUCACAGUUUCUGGGCUGUAGUGCUAUGUGAAGUGGCUCCUGCCCCAGGCGUCAUUACCACACCUAAGCCUGGACACUUAAGGGUGACAGGGGCUUGUUAAAUUGCCCAGGUGAGGCCUGCGACUUUGGAUCCUCCUGUCUGUCUUCAGAGACGCUGGAAUCACAGGGGUCACCUCACUACUGGCAAGAGUCAAGAUCAGAACCCUGUUCCCCAGAGUUGAAGGAUGAACACGAAGAAUGGCACCAAGGUGGUGAGCUGGAUUUGCAGUUUGCUGGCCUCUAAUUUAAACAAUGGUGAUGAUACCUCCUUCGAGUUACACUGGCAAGCCGGGGCACAGGUCCAACUGAGAGGCUAUUCUAAGAAAGACUCCUGAGAAUCCCUCACCUCCGUAGGCCAACUGGACAGGGGAACACUAAUGGUUGUACGCUUUGUUCUUCUCUAGCCAGAUGAGAGAAUGAGGUGUUUUUGGGGGUGGGGGCUUGAUGAUGAAAGGGUCAUGGAAGGAAGAUGGUUUCUAGGAAAAGAGAGAAGUUGCUUCUUUACUCCUGAGAAGCCCCUCUGGGAAGAUUCUAGAAGAAAGACUGUCUUUUCAACGGAGGUGGCAGCUGCAUUUCUGCCUACCUUACAAACAGGAAGAGGGAUAGGAAUGACUGGAGGGGGGGGGUGGAAAUAGGUUCAGUCUCCCCACUCAGAGGAUCCCUGGGGGGCGGCUGAAGACAGGGCUGAACUUCACAAAGACAGGAAUACAGAACACUGGGUACAUUUAAAGCCCCUUUGGUGAGUUAGGAUUGUUAUUUCCACUGAAAUAAUUACCAGUUAUCGCUCAUUUUUCUAAGAUCACAGUAAAAGAAAAAGCCACAAUCUACCACUCUCAGUAACAAACUAGGGUUGAUCUCUAUGCUCAAAGAAUAAAAUUAAUCCAUGAAAAAAUAGAUCCCAGCUCUGGGCACAUCAAGAUAGUGAGGGGCGACUAGGUGAGGCAUGGAGGCCUUUUCAGCACACUGUAACUAUUCUGUGUGAUGCCCUGAUGGUGGGAACAUGUCAUCACACAUUUGUAGCCUGUGUAUCACCAAGAGUGAGACCGAAUGAAAACCUCUAGAUUUGCAGUGAGCUGUAAUCCCAGAGACUGCAGGGGCUGGGGCAGGAGGAUUGCAACUUGGAACUUCGGCCUCAGCAGGACCCUGUCUCAAAAAAAGACUAGGGAUGUAGCUCACUGGUUGAACACCCCUAAGUUCAAUCAUCAGUACCAAAACAGUAAAUAAAACAGUGCAGAAUUCUGGCCUAGCAAUGUAUACCACAGGGAUGUGAAAUGUUAAUAAUCAGGGAAACGGGGUGGGGGGCGAGUAGAAAGAGAAGGAGGCAUAUGGGAAAUCUGUACUUCCUUUUUCAUCCUUCUGUUAUUCUGAAAGUCUAUUAAGAAAGGUUUCACACCUGGGGAUUUUUUGUCUACCCCCAAAUUCAGGUACCAGAAAGAUAGGGAUACUCUGUCACACAGUCCCUAUAUUUCUACAGCAGCCUGUGACAGGAUAGGGAUUAGUGCCUGAAAUUUCUAGAAGCCAAGGGGAGUCUGAGGUGUGGUUCUUCCAAGUGUGUACCAGAGAGUUAAAGUGUCAGCUCAUUUAGCUCCUGGGUUUUUGGUUUUGUUUUUUGAAAGCGAUCACCAGCUACUGCACUGAGAUCACAGGGCUGUGUCCCAUAACCUGGAAAGCACUGUGCAAAAGCGUCAAUCAAUAAUGUCCCCAGCCCAUGGUCACAAAGCCAGCAUCGAGGGAGCAUUGCACUCCAGGUAUGAACUCGAGUUUCAAUGCUUCUCUUCUGUGCAGCUUCUAUCUCUGGGCUUUCAGAGACCCCAAUUUCUCUUUUACUAACUAAGCCCCAGAAAGGCUGUCCAGGGUGUUCACAAGGUGAGGUACAGUUCUGUUUUGAGCUCUGAAUGACAUUACCAAAACAGGCCACGUUAUAUAAUCUUCAGUUAGGCACUAAUGACCAAUUACCCUUCCCAGACUCGGUUAAUAGCUGUUCUUGGACGACAGAGAGUAACAAAGACAAGCUCCUGCCAGCAGGGAGAGCCACACCCACUUCUGAUGAAAUCCCCAGAAGAGCCAGCUGCAAAAUCAUUCUUUGAAGUCAUUCUGGGGCCACAGGUGCACUAUCCCCUGGGCAGUGAAAAGGCAGGGCUCACCACCUUUCGUGGCACAGCUGGGUCCUAGGCACCUGGGGCUGCCAUGUAAGGAAACCAGAACUCACAGAGGAGGAGGUGGAGAUGCCUAACAACAACCAGGCUGACUCGACCCUCCCUAGUCAGCGUCCCAGCUGGCCCUGGAGAUUCCAUUUGUGCAACUUCCCGGCCUUCUCAAUUAACUAAGAAACUUACCAGAACAUUCUCAGUGGUGAGAUGGGGGAUUUUAGCAAUCUUCAUUGGUUUUCUCCUAUUCUUUUCUGGUUUCCAUUAGUUUCUAAUCUUGCUCUUAUUAAUUUGGUACAAAAUACAGUUUUUAAGCCCAC